UCGCCAAAUUGGUCAAAUUUGUUAAUGUAAACAAAUAUUAUUACAAUUAAAAGCACGUUAAGAUGGAAUAUAUUACUAAAAUAUUACGAUUUUCUUUUUCCAUCAAUUUAGCUCCAACUUACAAUGAUAUCAAUGUUUCUAAAAGGAAGUUUCGCCUGGGAGAUACUUUAGAGAGGUUAUUUUUCGACUUUUUCGUAAGCAAUGGUUCUCCGAUCAACUGUAGGUUAUUGAAAUUAAUUUAGAACUGACCAAAAAUAUCAUCAUUUAUUGUUGAUUAUUCAAAA